rnacentral:rRNA from 1 species
GACGAACGCUGGCGGCGUGCUUAACACAUGCAAGUCGAACGACGUGGCGAACGGGUGAGUAACGCGUAAUCAACCUGCCCUUCAGAGGGGGACAACAGUUGGAAACGACUGCUACUACCGCAUACUGAAGGAGGGGAUUGCGUUUGAUUAGCUAGUUGGAGGGGUGACGGCCCACCAAGGCGAUGAUCAGUAGCAGGUCUGAGAGGGUGAACGGGCACAUUGGGACUGAGACACGGCCCAGACUCCUACGGGAGGCAGCAGGUGGGAAUCUGCCGCAAUGGACGAAAGUCUGACGGAGGAAAGCCGGGUGAGUGAUGACGGCCUUCGGGGUGGAAAGCUCUGUUAAUCGGGACGCGGUACCGGAAUAGAAAGCCACGGCUAACUACGUGCCAGCAGCCGCGGUAAUUC